UACGGAGGAUCCAAGCGUUAUCCGGAUUCAUUGGGUUUAAAGGGUGCGUAGGCGGAAUGAUAAGUCAGUGGUGAAAUCCUGCAGCUUAACUGCAGAACUGCCAUUGAUACUGUCAAUCUUGAGUAUAUUUGAUGUAGGCGGAAUGUGUCAUGUAGCGGUGAAAUGCUUAGAUAUGACACAGAACACCGAUUGCGAAGGCAGCUCACAAAACUAUAACUGACGCUGAGGCACGAAAGCGUGGGUAUCAAACAGG
rnacentral:rRNA from 1 species